UUUUUUCUUCAUUUUCAAACAAUAAAAAAUAAAAAUCUCAGUUUAUUUUUCUUUAUUUAUUUUUUUCCACUCCGUUUCCCCAAACAAAGUGUAAAUCCCAGCCUAUACUUAUUCUAAAACGGAACCUCAAUCUCGUUAAAAACCAUAUGUAAUUUAUGCCAGAUAUUAACGCGUAUUCCCAUAGCAGGUUAGAAAAGUAAAUUACCUUUAUUUUUUUAAAAUAUUUUUUGCAACACAAUUUUUUUUUACCAUAAGUUUUUUUUUAAGGUAAUUUUUUAAAUCUUAUUUUGAAUUUUUUUUUUAAUAUUAAUUUUUUUUUUUUGGCUAAUGGUGGUUUUUUUAUAGUUCACAAUGAGUUUUUUUUACAACUAAUUUUUUUAGCAUAAAUUUCAAAUUGACACUUCCCGUUAUUUGUAAUGUUCAAUUAAACUCAAUUUAAAUUACAUAAUGAUUUUGUACCCUUUUUAAUUCAGUUUAAAACUAAUAUUUGCAAUUAAUUUUUUAGCUGCAACCUAUGCCAAAUUCUGCUGAUUAAUUCACAGACAGAAAUCAUUUCUGCAAAAGUAUGUCAUGUCCUCUCUUCAGAUUUGUAUCCAUUAAAAAUGAAAAUGAGCAACCAUUUUUAUCAUUUCAAUUCAGUAAUUAUAAUAUUUGACUCAAUUUCAUCUUUUAGAUUUAUUUUAUUUUAUUUAAAAAUAUAUUUUUAAAAAUUAAUAAACUCAACCGAAAGAAUGCUAGGGUCAUCCAAAAGAGUGUCAACGUCCAUUAAUAAAAGCCUUCCACCUUUCAGAUACAUGAGCUUAAAAGCAAGCACUCAUCCCGCACAAGUGGUGCCACCACCGUCCCAUUUUGAUUUCUCAAUUUUAACAUUAAAUUUCAAUCGGAUUAAAUUUUAUUUAAAUUUAAUAAUUAAUUUUUUUUAAAGAAUAAAUUCAAUUUUGACCAAAAUCAAAUUGAACCAAACCCAUCAACAUCAAUUUGAAAUCAUUUCAAAUUUUACCAAUUUCAAUACCAAUUUUAAUCUUAAACUAGAUCAAUCCGAUUUCAGUUCCUAACUAAAGCAUAGCAACCGUGGUGCGCAAUUGACAAUUUUACAAUCCUCUACAUAUACUGAGAUUCUAAUACUAGAAAGGAAAACCUGGCUGUUCACAGCACUCCCUAUGCACCCGAAAGAAUUAAAAUUGUAGGGCAGUUGCAAAAUAAUGACCGGCCCAGAUAAGGGUAACAAAUAUGAUAGCAAAGCAAAGCAAAGCAACCACAGGACACAUACAACCAUCUGCAGGCCGCAGCUAAGAUAAAUUGGGCUUUCCCGUUGGAUCUUAAGUUGCCUAUCGUUUUCUUCUGAAAAAAAUGAGCGGGCAAACCACUCAUUCCGCGAAGAGAGCAAAGGGAAGAGCCCGGUUACCCCAACGAUCAAUUCCUCUUCAGAAUUCAUCAUGAGGCCAUAAAUAUGUUAGAGGUACAAAUAAGCUCUUCACUGUUUAUUAUGAAGCACUGGCCAGUGCCACUUAUAAGAAUACAACAAAAAGGAAAAACAAGAAAUUAUAAAACCUAAAAAAAUUAUGCAAUGAAAUGGGAAAUGAAGACCCCUAAAACUAAAUGUUGUACAGCUUUGGACAGUAAGCUUCCUGUGAUGACAAAUAAUCCUAUCAUGGCCAUACUCAGCUGGCAGUGGCAUCUUAUUACCACAACCUGGUGGAGGCCUAGGCCCCCUAUUUCCAUUACUAGGUGGCGGUGGUCACUGGUCAGUGAAACCUACUAGCUCCACCAGGUGAUGGCUGCAUUGGCCUCCUAUUUACUACCCCAUGAGGUGGUUGGUGGGGUGGCCUCCCAACUAGCCCACUGGCACCAGAUGGUGGUAUCCUACUUCCUCGUGUCUAAUGCAGAAUAUCAGUUACCCCUUUGUUGGGGGGUGAUUAUAACCUCUGGGAACAUUCUGAUUAACCAGUGUAGGGAAACCACCACCCCACUGUUAACUACCACCUCCAGGUGAUUGAUAGCCCUGAAAGUCAUCAUAACCACCUUGGUAAGCAUACAUAGUGGCCCGAGAUGAUGUUUGCGUGACAGAACCUCGCAGGUGCUGUUGUCCACCACUCGGAAUAAAUUCUUGUGGGUGGUACAUCUGCCCUAAAUGCAGUCCACUUGAUCGUUUCUCUCUUUCAUAUUGAGGGUGAGCCCCAUUAUAAUGGGGGUUGGCACCUGAUGAAGCAUAGGGCUGACCAUAGCCAUGGUUAGAUGGAGUAGGAUUUAAAGCUCUGUGGUGACUAGCAUUAGAAUAAUCCAUUCUAGGUUGCACAUUUCCACGUCGUCCUGUAUCAUGCAACCCAUUUGAAUAGGAAUAAUGUGAUGGGACAUGUGGGGCAGCAGCAUAAGGUGGGGGUGGGGUAUGCAAAUGAUUGGCAUACCCAUUGCGACCCACCUUUAAUUGUAAACUAUUAACAACAAGUCGAUGUGAUGCCUCCCCAAGCUGAUGGCCAGAGUUGGAUCCAGGGGGGGUAUGCCUUUCCCAAGGCCUCCUUCCAGAAUCUUCAUGCCACAAAACAGGUGCAGGUUUCAGAUAGCCAGCAUUUACCAUCUUCAUAGGGAAUAUGACCCCAGCAGGUGGUCGGGUUAUGUGUUUAUGUGGGUCAGGAUGCCUGUAUAUAACACAUAUGACUUCGUUGUGCAAAAUGUCUUCCAUCCCUGUAAUAGGAGACCUGAAUAUAGGAGGUUGAGUAUCUCCAGAACAAGGGGAUAUAUAACCAUUCAUCCCAUCACUCAACUCAGGAUUAAUACGUUCCUCGACUUCAACUCGUUCUUUUUCCGUUAAUUGUUUACAGUGAUUAGCAAGUAAAUAUAUACUCUCAGCAAGAGAAUGAGAUGAUAACACAAAAAGCAUGUCAAACAUCACACUGUUUCUCCUUGAUUCCUCCUCCGUUAGUGUAUGUUCGAUCUUUUUGACCUCUGCAAGAAGGCAGCCUUCAUCGAUGAAGGGCAACUUUGCAAUACCCUGCCAUGCAUACCGUUUUCCAUUCAAGUCCACUUCAAAAUCAGUAGGGUAAAAAUCAAUAAUAGGCGAAUUUGGAUCAGUCAUCAAUUUUCUAUAAUGUACAGGAAGAGCAUGGGCACUUGCAGCAGGAAAAACUCCUAAAAGCUGAUUGAAUGGCUUGAAUGGGGAGCCUAGCUCAAACUGAAUGUUCAUCUGAUCUAGAUCUUUGAGGUCAGAAGCAAAGGGUGCAUAAUGAUAGGGGUAAAACCACUGCCAAGAGCAAACUCCUUCAUAGUAAUAGUGCAUGACCCAACAUAGCCCCUCAGUGUACCUCAAAACAACAUCCUUUCGUAUGUCUUCAAGUUCCUCGGGAGUUUUUGCAGAAAACUUUUCUUCGUAAUACCUUUCCUUCCAUCCUGGCUCUCCCAAUUUUACCUUGUCUUCUUCCGGAUUUUUUGAGUUAAAAAUGUCAUUCUUCUCACGAAGUAUUUCCUUAAGCUUAGUUUUCAAUUCUUCUUUGUUUUCAUGAACCUGAAAAUGAGGAGAAAGUAGCAUCAAACUGAUAAAUUUUCAUUUUAGAAAUCAAUAGUCAGCAAAGUUUGAAUGUAUAAAAUAGUAAAAAGUGUAAAUAAAUGAACUCUUAACUCCUCGCCAUAUAGGCUCAAUACCAAAUCAAGGGCUAGACCAUGGAAUAUGAGUCCUAAUUCGGCUGGAGGAGUCAGAAUUACAUUAAAGUGCCUCUCCUGAAGCAGGAAAACAUACUUCUAUUUCCAGACUAUUCUCUGCCUCAACAAUGGCAGUACCAACAUUGGCUGAUGAAGACAAAUAUGAAACUUUACAGGCCCGAACAUCUGCAGACUGUCCAAGCUGGGUUUCUUUUCUAAUAGAAAUUGAGCUCUCUAGUCUCUGCUGAAAUGGUGAAGGUGAAGGAGAAGAAGCAAGACGAGAACCAUGAAAUCGACCAACUGGAACCAAGGACUCAGGUUGAACUUGAGGCUCUACAUCUUCUCCCCUUCUUGCCUGUAACUUUUCCCACUUGAUUCUUUCUGACUGCCGCUGGUGCAAGCGAGCUCUUUUCUGAAAUAUUUUAUCUUCAUAUGAUCCCACUGCUUGAAUGAAAUGCUCCACCCUGCUCAAAUUUGGCUUGCUUGCAUUAGUCAGAUAACCACCCAUUGUCCUAAAUUCCUUCUUGUAUACUGCCAUCAGCAAGUUGAUUGCACCCUCACGAAUCUCCAAUGUGGGCACCUGCGGCAAAAAAUCAUUGCCAACAAAGAAACACAUGAAUAUAAAAUCAUCCACAAUGCAUUCUAAAUCGACCUCAAAUGGAAGGUUAGGAAGUCUCAUUUCAUACUCCAGAUACUCUCUAAGAGUCCAAAUAUUGACAAACUGGUAUGGUUUUUUUACCACAUUUUCAUCACCUUUCUCAUCAAAUUCUCCCGCCUUCGUCUUUUCCUUUCCUUCACAAUCUGCAGCUAAAUGACCCAUUUGACCACAUAGGAAGCAUUUGACUUGUUGGCCAGGUGUGAAAACAACCUCUCUAAGAAUCGAGAAAUGAACUUCAUGGGUAGCCAAAGCGAACAUAAUCAGAUCAGCAUCCAAACUAUACAGGCAAUGGUGUGUAUUUGCAUUGUAUCCAGGAAGGUUUCUCUGAAGACGAAUAUAUGACAUAAUCUUGUGUUCCCCUUCACCAGGAACAUUUGCAUCAGAAAGGAUAACCUUAAUUUUUUUCCAGCCAGGAUCAUAAUUUAGUCUAAGAUGAACGUAGUACUGCAGCGCAAUUGACAGGACAGCCAUAAAUUCAGUUCCAGGAGUGAUAACAUUGGAAUCAAAAACCUGUGAACCCUCUUUAGGAGGCAGCCUUCUGCCCUCCCUCUCAAACUCCUCUCUUAGCCUUGCUUCUUCUGCCUCCGCAUCUGCUGCAUCUUUGGCUGCCCUAAAACGCCUAGAUCUUUGCUGAUUCAUUUUAGCUCGAGGAGCAACACCAUCAAUUGCCAUGUAUAGCAACUUUCGAGGUCUCACCAUCGCAAACAGUCUAUCAAUGUAGUCAAACAUGCACUGGAAUACUUCUUCGAAAGAGGCUGGGGAAGGUCUGUCUUCGGGGUGAAAGCAAGGGUGAAUAAUCCCAUUCAUGUCGAGAUACAAGUUAUCGUAUUCGAUGUUGUUAGGGUUGGAUUUACUGGUAUCCACCGGAAUCUUAACUCCUUCAAUAACAACUGAUUCUUCCUCGAUUACAUCCACCACCACCAUUGGAUACUUCUCAGCUAACCACCGAUAGAAAGCCGGAAUUCCCAUUGCUAAUCUGUCGAGCUCGCAAGUCGCAGCCUCGCGGAUCUAUCUUCCUCGGGGGGGGGGGGGGGG
rnacentral:misc_RNA from 1 species